rnacentral:rRNA from 1 species
UACGUAGGGUGCGAGCGUUGUCCGGAAUUAUUGGGCGUAAAGAGCUCGUAGGCGGCCUGUUGCGUCGGUUGUGAAAGCCCGGGGCUCAACCCCGGAAUUGCCUUUAAAACUGCAUCGCUAGAAUUGUGGAGAGGUAAGUGGAAUUCCGAGUGUAGAGGUGAAAUUCGUAGAUAUUCGGAAGAACACCAGUGGCGAAGGCGACUUACUGGACACAUAUUGACGCUGAGGUGCGAAAGCGUGGGGAGCAAACAGG